UUGAUGAUUUUUCGAUUUUGAAGAUGUCUCGGUGCUUCCAGUAUCCACCGCCUGGUUAUUCUCCGAAUACAACAAGCAAUUAUGCCUUGAUCGAAUCGAUUAAGGUAGAUUUUUGCUCUAUGUAUCGGCUGAUAGUCAAUUUUGAAAACUCAGAAUGAAAUCUUGUUAAUCUGAUUCGUACAUAGAGCGGAUUUAACCUUUGUUGAUGUUUGAUAUUUCAAUUGAGGAUCUUUGAAAUGAAGGAUUUUGUAGAUUUUUACGGCUCCAGAGGUACGAGGAAAGAGUCAAAUUGGAAAGGAAGAAAGAAAAGAGAAGGAAGAAGAAAGAGAGAUUCAGAAAGAAGGAAAAAAAGGCGAAGCAAGUAUCAACUUCAAGUUGUUUUCAAACUGGUGAUUUGAUUUCUAGAGGAGAUAAUAGAGAGUCAAAAACUAAGUACUUGCAGAAAGAUAUUGAGGAUGAAAUUGUUGAGCGGUUGGAGAACAGUAGUCUAUCCGAGGAACACAGCCAGCCUGUCUGCUCACAAGAUCCAAACUACUCAUCUGACGGCACCCAAAAUAACAACAAAAGAAAGAGAUCUACCUCAUCUUCAAAUGGAAUACAUGACCAUGGUCCUAAUGUCCGCAUUCGAAUGUCCUCACAUAAUCAUGGACAAUGUGAUAUAUCUAUCAAAGAAGACUGUUUCAAAGAAUCUGCUAACUACGAGGUAGAAAGAGCCUCUCCCUUGUCGAAAACCAAUCAGCAAUUGUCCCCUUUCAUGUCAGAGGACAAGACAACAACUGUUUCUUGCUCCAAAUUGCGCGAGAAUGAUUUAGAACUAGAGUUCAAGAAUUUGAUUAUUAACUGUGUUCCACCAAGUCCCCGUUAUUAUGAGUUUGAUGAUCAAGAUUGGCUGUUCCGGAGAAAGCAUGAGCAGAUGAGAGUGAAGGAAAAAGGCGAAGUUAGCAACGACAUGCCUUGUGGCACCUCUGCGUUGUUACCGCGUGCGCAAUACCUAGAUGAUGCUGAACUAUAUGCAUUCCCUUUCACAGUUCCUUUUUGAGUUGCUUGUAGUAAAUUAACCAGGGAACUUUUAGCUCUUUCUCUGGAAAGCUUAUAGGUGGAAUACCUAGUUGAUUGGUACAGUGAAUUUACCAUUUUACUUCAAUAAUUAAUAGUCUUAAAAAUGGAUUUAAGGCGGACACAAUCAUUAGUAUUCUGAAUUAAUGAUCUUUAACCGUCA